rnacentral:rRNA from 1 species
GCUCCAAUAGCGUAUAUUAAAGUUGUUGCAGUUAAAAAGCUCGUAGUUGGAUUUCUGCUUUCCGUGAUGUCCUUUUUGGUAUGUUUGCGGGAGAGCAUGUUUGGGUGGAACCUGUGUGGCAUUAGGUUGUCGUGCAGGGGAGGCUCAUCGUUUACUGUGAAAAAAUUAGAGUGUUCAAAGCAGGCUUAGGCCGUUGAAUA